GUCUGUUGUGAAAGCCCUGGGCUCAACCCAGGAAGUGCACUGGAAACUGGCAAACUUGAAUACGGGAGAGGGUAGUGGAAUUCCUGGUGUAGGAGUGAAAUCCGUAGAUAUCAGGAGGAACACCGGUGGCGAAGGCGGCUACCUGGACCGAUAUUGACGCUGAGACGCGAAAGCGUGAGUAGCAAACAGGAUUAGAUACCCUGGUAGUCCACGCCGUAAACGAUG
rnacentral:rRNA from 1 species